rnacentral:rRNA from 1 species
GGCUCAGGAUGAACGCUAGCGGCAGGCUUAAUACAUGCAAGUCGUGGGGCAGCAUGAGUAGCAAUACUUGAUGGCGACCGGCAAACGGGUAGAGGAACACGUACACAACCUUCCUUCAAGCGGGGAAUAGCCCAGAGAAAUUUGGAUUAAUACCCCAUAAUAUAUUUGAUAAGGCAUCUUAUUAAUUAUUAAAGCUUCGGCACUUGAUGAUGGGUGUGCGGCUGAUUAGAUAGUUGGCGGGGUAACGGCCCACCAAGUCUACGAUCAGUAGCUGAUGUGAGAGCAUGAUCAGCCACACGGGCACUGAGACACGGGCCCGACUCCUACGGGAGGCAGCAGUAAGGAAUAUUGGACAAUGGACGAAAGUCUGAUCCAGCCAUGCCGCGUGAAGGAUUAAGGUCCUCUGGAUUGUAAACUUCUUUUAUAUGGGACGAAAAAAGGGCAUUCUUGUUCACUUGACGGUACCAUAUGAAUAAGCACCGGCUAACUCCGUG